CCAGAGGGACAUGGCAGGGCAA
rnacentral:miRNA from 1 species